rnacentral:piRNA from 1 species
UUCCUUCCAUUAUUUUCGCUG